GAUGUGACAAAGACAUCCGAUAAAAAUUGGAACGAUACUAAGAAGAUUAGCAUGGCCCAUGUGCAAGGAUGACACGCAUAAAUCUAGAAAUGGUAUCAAAGCCAU